rnacentral:rRNA from 1 species
UACGGAGGGGGCUAGCGUUGUUCGGAAUUACUGGGCGUAAAGCGCGCGUAGGCGGUCGUUCAAGUCGCGUGUGAAAGCCCCCGGCUCAACUGGGGAGGGUCACGCGAUACUGAUCGACUCGAAGGCAGGAGAGGGAAGUGGAAUUCCCGGUGUAGUGGUGAAAUGCGUAGAUAUCGGGAGGAACACCAGUGGCGAAGGCGACUUCCUGGCCUGUUCUUGACGCUGAGGCGCGAAAGCUAGGGGAGCAAACGGG